GAGAAAGGAUAUAAAUACACUUUCCGUGCAAGGUUCUUCUCACUACUUCUCUUGACUUGUUCUCUGCGGUACACUGAGACCCUCCUCCGCAGCCAGGCAAUGGCUUCCGAGCAGCUGGCAUGCAGCAACCCCUGCGAGGCGAAGUGUCCUCAGCCCCUGGCUGCCAGCAGCAACGAGCCCUGCGUGGUUGCCUGCGGUGACUCCCGGGUGAUCAUCUACCCACCACCCGUCGUCGUCACCUUCCCAGGGCCCAUCCUCACCACCUACCCCCAGCAAACAGUGGUGGGAGCCUCAGAGCCCUCUGAGGUGGCCCUGGCGGAGCCCCCUGCUGCAGCCCCCCUGCCAGCAGAGGCCCAGGGGAGGCUGGAGGCUGCAGUGGAGAAACUCACCCCGCAGGUUAUCGCUCGCCCAGAGCCUCGGUGCGCUCCUAAAUACUCCUACACAUAUUCUUCCCAAUGGACACAUCCAUGCAACUUGUACCGCUCUGGAAAACGGUGGACAUACUGAGCUGGGAUGUGAAGCGGCUUCAGGUAGCUCAAGCCCCUGGCAAUGCAGGAGGGCUGAGCGGCCAGGCAGGAGCUCAGCAUUGGGCAUCGCCUGGCUCCAGCUGGAGGAGAGCUGUGAACACUCAGCACCUGUGAGAGGCAGCUCAUGUGUGCAGUUUCUCCUUUUGCCUUUAGCUUAGGUUUGUUAGCCUCUGGCUUUCUGGUUUAGUCAUCUGCUUACAUUGUGCUUUGUUUACUUCAGUUACGUUAUUGACACUGAGUCUAGAGAGGUGACUUAGGAUGCUAGAAAUUGCACACAUCAACUGCACCGAAGGAAAAAAAAAAUAUA